rnacentral:tRNA from 1 species
GCAUCGGUGGUUUAAAAGGCUUAGGACGAUUGCACGGAAUGCAAGAGAUCCGGGUUCGAUCCUCGGCCGGGGUA